AGAACAGAGGCUUUCCUGAAUGAAAGCCACGACAAGCCUGAAUUUUCAGAAAAGAUCUUGGCAGACCAGGGAGGGAUAUUUUGUUCUUUUCCUCUCCGCUCCUCCAGCCAAAACGAAGGCCUGGUUAAGUCAUCACAUUUUAUCCCUCUUUUCUUCAGAAAACUCAAGGAGCAGUCUGGAAACAUCGAGGCAGAACUGGAGAAGGUGUUUUCCACCUCUGUCACUGCUGCCAUAGUGGAGCCUCCCGCGGCCUCGGCGAGCCCGGAGCUCGUCGCAGCCAUCGUGCUCAGCGUCGUCCUGGCCUGCACCCUCAUCGCCUUCCUGGUCUACGUGCUCCUGGACGUGAAAAGGAAAAGAAAGCGUGAGCAGCAGCAUUUGGUUAAGAAGCAAGCUGAAAGUAUGGAGGGCAUUGAUAACCCGUGGGCCAUGGACAAAAAUGGAAGUCUGAAAAGCUUAGAGAAACUAGAGCACAUGAAUAACGGGAGAAGCGAGGUAUUAUCAUUUGACAACAUAUACAGCACCAGAGGAGGUGAGGCUGACAAAGAUGAAAUGCAGGCCCCUGAAAAAGGCAAUUACCUUGAGACAAUACUGGCAGAUUACAAUAGUGAACAUGAGUAUGAAAAAGCUGCUGAACUUGGAAACACGGAGGCCCAGCCCGCUGUGGCAUUCAUAACAAAACAGGUAAUGAGCUUUUUGAUUGCAAAGCGUGGAGUGAAAGGUAUUUUAUUGUUACUCAUCAAAUAAUUGAAGGAAUUAUUGAAAAAGUUAAACCUGUCACGGAACGGAAAAGAAAACAAUCUUUUGUGAAGUAACCCCUGGAAAUGUUCAGGGCUGGGUUGGACAGGACUUGAUCAACCUGGUGUAGUGGAAGGUGUCCCUGCCCAGGGCAGGGGGGUGGAACUGGAUGAUCUUUUAAGUUCCCUUCCAACCCAAACCAUUCUGUGAUUCUAUAAAAAUCUUAGAGGAGGGGCUGUUGUCCCUGAGUAGAAGGAGGAGGAAAGACUUGUCAUCCAGAAAUUACGAUUCCUUUCUGCCUGUUAUGGAAUGUGCACAGUAAAGGGUUCUUGUGUGCUGCUCCAAAAACUUCCCACCUUAAAAGCACUGCUUUGUUUGCAAGCUUCACAGACAGAAAAUGUAAGUUAUACAACUUCCACUGCUUCGAACUUUUCCACACUACCAUUUCUAACAGAAAUUUCUGCCUCACCUGCACUACAUUUUCUUGCAGGACUCCUUUCUGACAGACACAGCCCAGAAAUCCGCUCCUCCCAUACCACCUCAGCCCCCGUCAGCUGCCCCUGGAAAAGAACUGAAAGGAGUAAAAUUCUCAGAAGUGGCAGUGAUUUUGGACGCAGAUGACGAGCCCGAAGAUUACGAGCCCGAAGAUGAUGAGCCUGAAGGCGAUGAGGCUGGCUAUGACAUCUCUUUAUAAUAAGGACACUUGAUGACGAAAAGCACGAUGACAGGACAGAAUUUAAUGAGCAACAAUAUGGGGACGCUAUCCAGAUUUUAAUUCUGCUACUGCUGUUAUAAGAGAACAAGCAAUUUGCCGAAGGUGCUGCUCUGCAGGGCUGCUCCCCCAGCACCGGCGCUGUCUCGCUGUGUAUUUAAUUUCCUCUGCCGCGUGUCGAAUAGCCAAGACAAUAAACCCGAUUCCCAAGUACUUCUCA
ensembl:lncRNA